AGCGAACGCUGGCGGCAGGCUUAACACAUGCAAGUCGAGCGGAUGUAGCAAUACAUCAGCGGCAGACGGGUGAGUAACACGUGGGAACGUACCUUUUGGUUCGGAACAACACAGGGAAACUUGUGCUAAUACCGGAUAAGCCCUUACGGGGAAAGAUUUAUCGCCGAAAGAUCGGCCCGCGUCUGAUUAGCUAGUUGGUGAGGUAAUGGCUCACCAAGGCGACGAUCAGUAGCUGGUCUGAGAGGAUGAUCAGCCACAUUGGGACUGAGACACGGCCCAAACUCCUACGGGAGGCAGCAGUGGGGAAUAUUGGACAAUGGGCGCAAGCCUGAUCCAGCCAUGCCGCGUGAGUGAUGAAGGCCCUAGGGUCGUAAAGCUCUUUUGUGCGGGAAGAUAAUGACAG
rnacentral:rRNA from 1 species